GGGAGAGAGCGAGCGAGGCAAGGAGAGGAGGAGGAGGAGGGGGGAAGCUUUAAAUAAAGCCUUUGGAUUGCAGCUGCUUAUUUUGGGCAGUCCAACCAGGGACGAUUCCUGCCAGGAAAGAAGCUGGACCGGUCCUUUUCAAUUUUAUUUUUUUUUAAUUUAUUUUGAUUUUUAUUUUUGGGGGUGGCAGUGGUGUAUUGCCGAGCUGCCUGCUGAGAUGAGCUCCGGUGCCUGGCUGUAGUUGCCUACUUUGGGAUCGCUGGACACAUAAGUGGCAUUUCGGUGGGGGGAAGCCUGCAGACAUGUGAGAAUGGCUGGACCGUGGCAGUGGCGCACUGAUUUUUGUGGAUGGUGAACACAAAAAGGGGAUUAAGAAGAGACCACCUGAGUUAUUCUGACACAUGACUUGAGUGCUUUCUAUUCUUAGACAGAUGAGGAUCUGAAAUAUGUAGACUGAGAGUAACACAUGUCCAGAUUAAAACUGUAUCCUACAAGAAGUAUUUGAUGGAUUAUUCCUAGACAUUUCUAAGAAGGUAAAUACAAAAA